rnacentral:rRNA from 1 species
UACGAGUGCUUCAAGCGUUAUCCGGAAUCAUUGGGCGUAAAGGGUGCGUAGGCGGCGAUGUUAGUCUUCUGUUAAAUCUUUCGGCUCAACCGAGAGUCUGCAGGGGAAACGGCAUUGCUUGAGGACGGAAGAGGUCUCUGGAACUCAUGGUGUAGCGGUGAAAUGCGUUGAUAUCAUGGGGAACACCAAAAGCGAAGGCAAGAGACUGGUCCGCUCCUGACGCUGAAGCACGAAAGCGUGGGUCGCGAAUGGG